CCUACGGGAGGCAGCAGUGAGGAAUAUUGGUCAAUGGGCGCAAGCCUGAACCAGCCAUGCCGCGUGCAGGAUGACGGUCCUAUGGAUUGUAAACUGCUUUUAUACAGGAAGAAACACUCGGACGUGUCCGAGCUUGACGGUACUGUAGGAAUAAGGAUCGGCUAACUCCGUGCCAGCAGCCGCGGUAAUACGGAGGAUCCAAGCGUUAUCCGGAAUCAUUGGGUUUAAAGGGUCCGUAGGCGGUCUAAUAAGUCAGUGGUGAAAUCCUUCCGCUUAACGGGAGAACGGCCAUUGAUACUGUUAGACUUGAAUUAUUAGGAAGUAACUAGAAUAUGUAGUGUAGCGGUGAAAUGCUUAGAGAUUACAUGGAAUACCAAUUGCGAAGGCAGGUUACUACUAAUUGAUUGACGCUGAUGGACGAAAGCGUGGGUAGCGAACAGGAUUAGAUACCCUGGUAGUCCACGCCGUAAACGAUGGAUACUAGCUGUUGGGCGCAAGUUCAGUGGCUAAGCGAAAGUGAUAAGUAUCCCACCUGGGGAGUACGUUCGCAAGAAUUGAAACUUAAAGGAAAUUGACGG
rnacentral:rRNA from 1 species